rnacentral:rRNA from 1 species
UGCAAGUCGUGCGGACCUUUUAAAAGCUUGCUUUUAAAAGGUUAGCGGCGGACGGGUGAGUAACACGUGGGCAACCUGCCUGUAAGACUGGGAUAACGCCGGGAAACCGGGGCUAAUACCGGAUAGUUUUUUCCUCCGCAUGGAGGAAAAAGGAAAGGCGGCUUCGGCUGCCACUUACAGAUGGGCCCGCGGCGCAUUAGCUAGUUGGCGGGGUAACGGCCCACCAAGGCAACGAUGCGUAGCCGACCUGAGAGGGUGAUCGGCCACAUUGGGACUGAGACACGGCCCAAACUCCUACGGGAGGCAGCAGUAGGGAAUCUUCCGCAAUGGACGAAAGUCUGACGGAGCAACGCCGCGUGAGUGAAGAAGGCCUUCGGGUCGUAAAACUCUGUUGCCGGGGAAGAACAAGUGCCGUUCGAAUAGGGCGGCGCCUUGACGGUACCCGGCCAGAAAGCCACGGCUAACUAC